UAUAUUAAAUUGAUUUUUGGAAUAGGGAGAUGGAAUAGGGGCUUGCUCCGUCCACUCCACGCAUCGACCUGGUAUUGCAGUACCUCCAGGAACGGUGC
ensembl:snRNA U2 U2 spliceosomal RNA